CAACAAAAAAAAAAUUAAAAAAAAAAUUAAAAUUUUUGCUGAAUUGCUCAAAAAUGAGGAAAAUUUUACAUUUUUUCAAACAUGGUAUGGAACUUGGUUCCUCGAAUAACUUCUGGUACAGACAUCUGAGGGCAUGGCCGUCCAAGAAGAAAAUGUAGCCAUUGAUGCCAUCUAUCGACCACAGGUUAAAGAUUGGCGAUCCGUUGGAUACCGUCCGAGUUAUAGGCAAAACUUGGCGCAAAAAUGAGGAAAAUUUUACAUUUUCUCAAACAGGGUAAGGAACUUGGUUCCUCGAAUAACUUCUGGCACAGACAUCUGAGGACAUAGCCGUCCAAGAAGAAAAUGUAGCCAUUAGUGUCAUCUAUCGACCACAGGUUAAAGAUUGGCGAUCCGUUGGAUACCGACCGAGUUAUAGGCAAAACUUGGCGCAAAAAUGAGCAUUAUGAAAUUUUUUAAUUUUAUAUUUUUUAAUAUUUUUUAUAAUUUUUGAUUCUUUUUUAAUUUAAAACAUUAUUUGAGUGAAAAGAAACUUAUUGCAACCAAUUGGCAUUAAAAUAAAUCAAUUUCAUUUUUUUUGCAAAAUUUCUCAAAAAAAUGGCAAGGGGUACCCCUUAUGAAAUUUUCGAGUGGAAAUUUUUUUUUUAAUUUUUUUCUGAUUUUUUAUUCUUUUAUUAAUUUAAAGCAUUAUUUGAGUGAAAAGAAACUUAUUGCAACUAAUUCGCAUUAAAAUAUAUCAAUUUUUUAAAUUUUGCUGAAUUGCUCAAAAAUGAGGAAAAUUUUACAUUUUCUCAAACAGGGUAAGGAACUUGGUUCGUCGAAUAACUUCUGGCACAGACAUCUGAGGGCAUGGCCGUCCAAGAAGAAAAUGUAGCCAUUGGUGUCAUCUAUCGACCACAGGUUAAAGAUUGGCGAUCCGUUGGAUACCGUCCGAGUUAUAGGCAAAACUUGGUGCAAAAAUGAAGAAAAUUUUACAUUUUCUCAAACAGGGUAAGGAACUUGGUUCCUCGAAUAACUUCUGGCACAGACAUCUGAGGGCAUGGCCGUCCAAGAAGAAAAUGUAGCCAUUGAUGCCAUCUAUCGACCACAGGUUAAAGAUUGGCGAUCCGUUGGAUACCGACCGAGUUAUAGCCAAAACUUGGCACAAAAAUGAGGAAAAUUUUACAUUUUCUAAAACAGGGUAAGGAACUUGGUUCCUCGAAUAACUUCUGGCACAGACAUCUGAGGGCAUGGCCGUCCAAGAAGAAAAUGUAGCCAUUGGUGCCAUCUAUCGACCACAGGUUAAAGAUUGGCGAUCCGUUGGAUUCCGACCGAGUUAUAGGCAAAACUUGGCGCAAAAAUGAGCAUUAUGAAAUUUUUUAAUUUUAUAUUUUUUAAUAUUUUUUAAAAUUUUUGAUUCUUUUUUAAUUUAAAACAUUAUUUGAGUGAAAAGAAACUUAUUGCAACCAAUUGGCAUUAAAAUAAAUCAAUUUCAUUUUUUUGCAAAAUUUCUCAAAAAAAUGGCAAGGGGUACCCCUUAUGAAAUUUUCGAGUCGAAAUUUUUUUUUAAUUUUUUUCUGAUUUUUUAUUCUUUUAUUAAUUUAAAGCAUUAUUUGAGUGAAAAGAAACUUAUUGCAACUAAUUCGCAUUAAAAUAUAUCAAUUUUUUAAAUUUUGCUGAAUUGCUCAAAAAUGAGGAAAACUUUACAUUUUCUCAAACAGGGUAAGGAACUUGGUUCCUCGAAUAACUUCUGGCACAGACAUCUGAGGGCAUGGCCGUCCAUGAAGAAAAUGAAGCCAUUGAUGCCAUCUAUCGACCACAGGUUAAAGAUUGGCGAUUCGUUGGAUACCGUCCGAGUUAUAGGCAAAACUUGGUGCAAAAAUGAAGAAAAUUUUACAUUUUCUCAAACAGGGUAAGGAACUUGGUUCCUCGAAUAACUUCUGGCACAGACAUCUGAGGGCAUGGCCGUCCAUGAAGAAAAUGUAGCCAUUGGUGCCAUCUAUCGACCACAGGUUAAAGAUUGGCGAUCCGUUGGAUACCGACCGAGUUAUAGCCAAAACUUGGCGCAAAAAUGAGCAUUAUGAAAUUUUUUAAUUUUAUAUUUUUUAAUAUUUUUUAUAAUUUUUUAUUCUUUUUUAAUUUAAAACAUUAUUUGAGUGAAAAGAAACUUAUUGCAACCAAUUGGCAUUAAAAUAAAUCAAUUUCAUUUUUUUUGCAAAAUUUCUCAAAAAAAUGGCAAGGGGUACCCCUUAUGAAAUUUUCGAGUGGAAAUUUUUUUUUAAAUUUUUUUCUGAUUUUUUAUUCUUUUAUUAAUUUAAAGCAUUAUUUGAGUGAAAAGAAACUUAUUGCAACUAAUUCGCAUUAAAAUAUAUCAAUUUUUUAAAUUUUGCUGAAUUGCUCAAAAAUGAGGAAAAUUUUACAUUUUCUCAAACAGGGUAAGGAACUUGGUUCGUCGAAUAACUUCUGGCACAGACAUCUGAGGGCAUGGCCGUCCAAGAAGAAAAUGUAGCCAUUGGUGUCAUCUAUCGACCACAGGUUAAAGAUUGGCGAUCCGUUGGAUACCGUCCGAGUUAUAGGCAAAACUUGGUGCAAAAAUGAAGAAAAUUUUACAUUUUCUCAAACAGGGUAAGGAACUUGGUUCCUCGAAUAACUUCUGGCACAGACAUCUGAGGGCAUGGCCGUCCAAGAAGAAAAUGUAGCCAUUGAUGCCAUCUAUCGACCACAGGUUAAAGAUUGGCGACCCGCUGGAUACCGUCCGAGUUAUAGCCAAAACUUGGUGCAAAAAUGAAGAAAAUUUUACAUUUUCUCAAACAGGGUAUGGAACAUGGUUCCUCGAAUAACUUCUGACACAGACAUCUGAGGGCAUGGCCGUCCAUGAAGAAAAUGUAGCCAUUGGUGCCAUCUAUCGACCACAGGUUAAAGAUUGGCGAUCCGUUGGAUACCGACCGAGUUAUAGGCAAAACUUGGCGCAAAAAUGAGCAUUAUGAAAUUUUUUAAUUUUAUAUUUUUUAAUAUUUUUUAUAAUUUUUUAUUCUGUUUUAUAUUUAAAGCAUUAUUCGUGUUAAAAGAAACUUAUUGCAACCAAUUGGCAUUAAAAUAAAUCAAUUUCAUUUUUUUUGCAAAAUUUCUCAAAAAAAUGGCAAGGGGUACCCCUUAUGAAAUUUUCGAGUGGAAAUUUUUUUUAAAUUUUUUUCUGAUUUUUAAUUCUUUUAUUAAUUUAAAGCAUUAUU